CCUACGGGAGGCAGCAGUCGAGAAUCAUUCACAAUGGGGGAAACCCUGAUGGUGCGACGCCGCGUGGGGGAAUGAAGGUCUUCGGAUUGUAAACCCCUGUCAUGUGGGAGCAAAUUAAAAAGAUAGUACCACAAGAGGAAGAGACGGCUAACUCGGUGCCAGCAGCCGCGGUAAUACAGAGGUCUCAAGCGUUGUUCGGAAUCACUGGGCGUAAGGCGUGCGUAGGCUGUUUCGUAAGUCGUGUGUGAAAGGCGCGGGCUCAACCCGCGGACGGAACAUGAUACUGCGAGACUAGAGUAAUGGAGGGGGAACCGGAAUUCUCGGUGUAGCAGUGAAAUGCGUAGAUAUCGAGAGGAACACUCGUGGCGAAGGCGGGUUCCUGGACAUUAACUGACGCUGAGGCACGAAGGCCAGGGGAGCGAAAGGGAUUAGAUACCCCUGUAGUC
rnacentral:rRNA from 1 species